rnacentral:rRNA from 1 species
UCGGGAAUUUUGGGCAAUGGGCGAAAGCCUGACCCAGCAACGCCGCGUGAGUGACGAAGGCCUUAGGGUUGUAAAGCUCUUUUGGCGGGGACGAUAAUGACGGUACCCGCAGAAUAAGCCCCGGCUAACUUCGUGCCAGCAGCCGCGGUAAUACGAAGGGGGCUAGCGUUGUUCGGAAUCACUGGGCGUAAAGCGCACGUAGGCGGAUUUGUAAGUCAGGGGUGAAAUCCCGGGGCUCAACCUCGGAACUGCCUUUGAUACUGCAAGUCUCGAGUUCGGGAGAGGUGAGUGGAAUUCCUAGUGUAGAGGUGAAAUUCGUAGAUAUUAGGAAGAACACCAGUGGCGAAGGCGGCUCACUGGCCCGAUACUGACGCUGAGGUGCGAAAGCGUGGGGAGCAAACAGGAUUAGAUACCCACGUAGUCCCUGAGCGGGCUGGCAAGGCGCAU